GGUGAACGCUGGCGGCGUGCUUAACACAUGCAAGUCGAACGAGAACGGGUUAUAGCUUGCUAUAAUUGUCAGCUAAGUGGCGCACGGGUGAGUAAUGUAUAGGUAAUAUGCCUCUUACUGAGGGAUAACAAAUGGAAACGUUUGCUAAUACCUUAUACUCCUUAUUAACAUAAGUUAAUAAGGGAAAGAUUUAUUGGUAAGAGAUUAGCCUGUAUUGUAUCAGUUAGUUGGUGGGGUAAUGGCUUACCAAGACUAUGACACAUAACUGGUUUGAGAUGAUGAUCAGUAACACUGGAAUUGAGACACGGUCCAGACUCCUACGGGAGGCAGCAGUGGGGAAUAUUGCACAAUGGACGAAAGUCUGAUGCAGCAACGCCGCGUGGAGGAUGACACAUUUCGGUGCGUAAACUCCUUUUAUAUGAGAAGAUAAUGACGGUAUUAUAUGAAUAAGCACCGGCUAACUCCGUGCCAGCCGCCGCGGUAA
rnacentral:rRNA from 1 species